rnacentral:rRNA from 1 species
UACGUAGGGUGCGAGCGUUACUCGGAAUUACUGGGCGUAAAGCGUGCGCAGGCGGUUCGUUAAGUUCGUUGUGAAAGCCCCGGGCUCAACCUGGGAACUGCAAUGGAAACUGGCGAGCUUGAGUGUGGCAGAGGGGGGUGGAAUUCCGCGUGUAGCAGUGAAAUGCGUAGAGAUGCGGAGGAACACCGAUGGCGAAGGCAGCCCCCUGGGCCAACACUGACGCUCAGGCACGAAAGCGUGGGGAGCAAACAGG